GUUGCAAUACACAUGUACAGAUGUUAUUAAUGCUAUAUGCCAUUCAUGCUAAUAAACUCCCCUAAAUCCUACACACUAUAGCUUUAAUAUUUACUGGAGAGG